rnacentral:rRNA from 1 species
UACGAAGGGUGCAAGCGUUACUCGGAAUUACUGGGCGUAAAGCGUGCGUAGGUGGUUUGUUAAGUCUGAUGUGAAAGCCCUGGGCUCAACCUGGGAAUUGCAUUGGAUACUGGCAGGCUAGAGUGCGGUAGAGGAUGGCGGAAUUCCCGGUGUAGCAGUGAAAUGCGUAGAGAUCGGGAGGAACAUCUGUGGCGAAGGCGGCGAUCUGGGCAGAUAUUGACGCUGAGGUGCGAAAGCGUGGGGAGCAAACAGG